rnacentral:rRNA from 1 species
ACUCAAAUGAAUUGACGGGGACCCGCACAACUGGUGGAGCGUGUGGUUUAAUUCGAGACGAAGCGAAGCACCUUACCAAGGUUUGACAUGCUACCGUUUAUUUCCCAAGAAACUGGGAGAAAUCCGCAAGGAUGGUAGCACAGGUGAUGCAUGGCUGUCGUCAGCUCGUGCCGUGAGGUGUUCCCUUAAGUGGGGAAACGAGCGCAACCCGCAUCUAAUGUUAAAUAUUCAUUAGAAACAGCCCCAUCCUCAAGUGUGUAAGUAAUAAACUUAUGCUUUUGAGGAUGGGGAGGAAGGAGCGGAAGACGUCAAGUCAGCACGUCCCUUAUACCUUGGGUUACACACACCCUACAAUGGCGAAUAACAAUGGGCAGCAAGCCGGCGACGGCAAGCAAAUCCCACAAAUUUCGCCUCAGUUCAGAUUGGAGUCUGCAACCCGACUCCAUGAAGGAGGAAUCAGUAGUAAUCGCGGAUCAGCAGGCCGCGGUGAAUACGUUCUCGGGUCUUGCACACACCGCCCGU